GUGCCAGCCCCGCGGUAAUACGUAGGGGGCAAGCGUUGUCCGGAAUCACUGGGCGUAAAGCGCGCGCAGGCGGUGGAGUAAGUCAGACGUGAAAGGGUUCGGCUCAACCGAACCAUUGCGUUUGAAACUACCUCACUUGAGUCUAGAAGAGGAAAGUGGAAUGUAUGGUGUAGCGGUGGAAUGCUUAGAUAUCAUAUAGAACACCCGUGGCGAAGGCGGCUUUCUGGUCUAAGACUGACGCUCGUGCGCGAAAGUUUGGGGAGCAACCGGGAUUAGAUACCCCGCUAGUCCUUACUGUAAACGAUGGGUACUAAGUGUAGGGGGUGUUGAUUCCCUCUGUGCUGUAGCUAACGCAUUAAGUACCCCGCCUGGGGAGUACGGCCGCAAGGUUAAAACUCAAAUAAAUUGGCGG
rnacentral:rRNA from 1 species